AUGGACCAAUACACAAACCACAGGCAAUCGGGAGAAGCUUCGUCGGCCGCCUUGCCCCUGUGCGAGGGGAGGAGUAGGUGGGACCCCAUCUGCCCUUUACCCCUUCUUUCCCUGGCUGAGCCCCACCCCCACCUUACCACCACUCACCCUGGCCGGGCACGAGGCCGGGGACCCCAGUUGGCCUCCGGGUUAGCCUGGAAGCGCUUGAGUCCUCGCUGUCGGGAGCUGGGGUUGGCAUCUUCCCGGAUGGUGAAGUUGGCCUGCAGCCUA
rnacentral:lncRNA from 1 species